GACGAACGCUGGCGGCGUGCCUAACACAUGCAAGUCGUGCGAGAAAGUUCCUUCGGGAGCGAGUAAAGCGGCGCACGGGUGAGUAACACGUAGGUAACCUGCCCCCCAGUCUGGAACAACUAGAGGAAACUCUAGCUAAUGCCGGAUGAGACCACGAUCCCUUCGGGGGUUGCGGCCAAAGAUGGCCUCUACUUGUAAGCUAUCGCUGAGGGAUGGGCCUGCGGGCCAUUAGCUUGUUGGUGAGGUAACGGCUCACCAAGGCUGUGAUGGCUAGCUGGUCUGAGAGGAUGACCAGCCACACUGGGACUGAGACACGGCCCAGACUCCUACGGGAGGCAGCAGUGGGAAUAUUGCGCAAUGGGCGAAAGCCUGACGCAGCGACGCCGCGUGGGUGAUGAAGGCCUCGGUCGUAA
rnacentral:rRNA from 1 species